AACGAACGCUGGCGGCAGGCCUAACACAUGCAAGUCGAGCGAGGACUUCGGUUCUAGCGGCGGACGGGUGAGUAACGCGUGGGAAUGUGCCCUUCUCUACGGAAUAGCCCUGGGAAACUGGGAGUAAUGCCGUAUACGCCCUAUUGGGGAAAGAUUUAUCGGAGAAGGAUCAGCCCGCGUUGGAUUAGGUAGUUGGUGGGGUAAUGGCCUACCAAGCCGACGAUCCAUAGCUGGUUUGAGAGGAUGAUCAGCCACACUGGGACUGAGACACGGCCCAGACUCCUACGGGAGGCAGCAGUGGGGAAUCUUAGACAAUGGGGGCAACCCUGAUCGAGCCAUGCCGCGUGAGUGAUGAAGGCCUUAGGGUUGUAAAGCUCUUUCAGCUGGGAAGAUAAUGACGGUACCAGCAGAAGAAGCCCCGGCUAACUCCGUG
rnacentral:rRNA from 1 species